rnacentral:lncRNA from 1 species
GUUAACCUGCAAUAAUUUGUAUGCCAACUAACUUAAAAAGGUUUAUCAUUCUGAAAAGCACCGAAGAAAAUGAUCCUCACUUGAUAUCCCAACAGUAAGUAUACAACAUCUGGUAAUGCACAAAAGUACGUGUAAGUGUAUAACUUGAGUACGUGUAAGUGUAUUCCCACUGUAUUUAUAAUACAAUAUAACAAGAUCUAUAGGUACUACACCAAUCAUUGUAAUAAGGCUAAGGUAAGAGAACUAAUGCUAAGGUAAGAGAACUAAUGUUGUCAGAUGUGGUGGAUGGCUUGAGAACCCAACAAAUUUGUUAGUCGUCCAAAAUAAUAUCCCACACGAAAUAUUAUGCACUCUGUUGAAGUUAGGGGUGGGCACGGUCCGGUCCGGUCCUAAAAUGUAAUAGGACCGGGACCAAACCGACUUGAAAGUAUCGGUUCGGUUUCGGUUCCAUGGACCGAAAUAAUUUGAAUGUAACCGGACCGAACCGGACCAAAUACAAUCGGUCCGGUUUCGGUCCGAAACUCGG